AGGGCCAACAGAGUGUUCCCAUGUGAAUAAAUCAAUGUGAAUACAUCUGCUGGUUCCAUU
rnacentral:pre_miRNA from 1 species